AGUGAACGCUGGCGGCGUGCCUAAUACAUGCAAGUCGAACGGAGUGGCGCACGGGUGAGUAAUAUAUAGCUAAUCUGCCCCUUGCUGUCGGACAACAGUUAGAAAUGACUGCUAAUACUCCAUAGCAAGGGAUGAGACUAAAUCGGAUCAGAUAGUCGGUGGGGUAAAGGCCUACCGCGGCUAUGACGCGUAACUGGUCUGAGAGGAUGAUCAGUUACAUGGGAACUGAGACACGGUCCAAACGCCGACGGGAGGCAGCAGUAGGGAAGAUGGCGCCAUGGGGGAAACCCUGACGCAGCAACGCCGCGUGGAGGAUGACACUUUUCGGAGCGUAAACGCCUUUUGUUAGGGAAGCGGUACCUAACGAAUAAGCACCGGCUAACUCCGUGCCAGCGGCCGCGGUAAUUC
rnacentral:rRNA from 1 species